GUGCCAGCCGCCGCGGUAAUACGGAGGGUGCAAGCGUUAAUCGGAAUUACUGGGCGUAAAGCGCACGUAGGCUGUUGUGUAAGUCAGGGGUGAAAUCCCACGGCUCAACCGUGGAACUGCCUUUGAUACUGCGCGACUUGAAUCCGGGAGAGGGUGGCGGAAUUCCAGGUGUAGGAGUGAAAUCCGUAGAUAUCUGGAGGAACAUCAGUGGCGAAGGCGGCCACCUGGACCGGUAUUGACGCUGAGGUGCGAAAGCGUGGGAGCAAACAGGAUUAGAUACCCUGGUAGUCCACGCUGUAAACGAUGGAUGCUAAGAUGCGGGGAUAUCUUCGGUGUCGUAGUUAACGCGUUAAGCAUCCCGCUGGGAUACGGUCGCAAGGCUGAAACUCAAAGAAUUGAC
rnacentral:rRNA from 1 species